UAUCACUCCUGGAUAAUAAUGCUCACAUGUGCAUUUUUGGCCUACAAAGUAGAUAAACUGAAUGUAUCUAGUCCCCAGUUUGUUGGAAACCUUCGGGAGAGUUCUCUCGUACAGGAGGAGACACUUGAACAGAGUUUGGAAUACGAACUACCUUUUAUACAGCAACGUAAAUUUCCAUCUGACUGUCCACAACCCCUAUAGACCACUGGAGUGCUUCCUCACUGAUUUAAAGACUUACUAUGCAAUGCUGGAGAAUCCAGACAUUUUGAGGAAAACAGAUGAUGAACUUCUUAAUAGAAUCACAUUGAUGGCUGCUUACUGUUUAUACACACCUUCCCAAAUUGCCCUGCCUGCCAUUUUAUCCAGUGCCUUCAGGACUGGAAUUACUACGGAAAGUUAUUUAUUGGACAGUCUGAUGUUGAGAGAGAACAGAACUUGCUUGUCACUGUUACGAGAUAUAAUGAAAAGCAUGAGAAAUUGAGUAAAAAAGUAUGUACCACCCAGAUCUGAAGAAGCUGCUGUUCUGAAACCGAAGUUGGAGCAAUGUCAUUCUGCUGAGCUUGCACUUAAUGUAAUUAUGAAGAAGAGGAAAGGCUGUGAAGAUAAUGAUGAUAUCUCAAAGAAAUCCAGACAUGAGGAGGAAGAAUAGACUGAUGAUGACCUGGUAGACUCUCUCUA
rnacentral:lncRNA from 1 species